GACGAACGCUGGCGGCGCGCCUAACACAUGCAAGUCGAACGAGCGAGAGAGAGCUUGCUUUCUCAAGCGAGUUGGCGAACGGGUGAGUAACGCGUGAGGAACCUGCCUCGGAGUGGGGAAUAACAGUUGGAAACAGCUGCUAAUACCGCAUAAUGCAACGGAAUCGCAUGACUCUGUUGCCAAAGAUUUAUCGCUGAAAGAUGGCCUCGCGUCUGAUUAGCUAGUUGGUGAGGUAACGGCCCACCAAGGCGACGAUGCGUAGCCGGCCUGAGAGGGUGGACGGCCACACUGGGACUGAGACACGGCCCAG
rnacentral:rRNA from 1 species